GGGCAAUUGGUCUAGGGGUAUGACGUCUGCUUCGCACUCUAUUCUAGUGUAUGCUGAAGGUCCGGGGUUCAAUUCCCCGAUUGUCCA